AGUAAUAUUUAAUUUCUUUUACGGCAAAAUAUUUAAAUUUUAAACUCCAAACUAAUUUAUUUCCGCUACAUUAACCUUAAUUGGAAUAUCAUCAAAAGUCCAAAAUUCAAAGGUGGUGUAUAUACUAGAACUUUGAAAAUUUUCAAUUUCCGAUCGAAUUAUUGGAUAAAAUUAGUCUUCAAUAUCCUAUUUGGCUUCAUUAACUCAAGUAACAUAUUCCCGUUUCAAAAAAAAAAAAA
rnacentral:lncRNA from 1 species